GAUGAACGCUGGCGGCGUGCCUAAUACAUGCAAGUCGAGCGAACAGACGAGGAGCUUGCUCCUCUGACGUUAGCGGCGGACGGGUGAGUAACACGUGGAUAACCUACCUAUAAGACUGGGAUAACUUCGGGAAACCGGAGCUAAUACCGCAUAAUAUAUUUAACCGCAUGGUUCAAUAGUGAAAGACGGUUUUGCUGUCACUUAUAGAUGGAUCCGCGCCGCAUUAGCUAGUUGGUAAGGUAACGGCUUACCAAGGCAACGAUGCGUAGCCGACCUGAGAGGGUGAUCGGCCACACUGGAACUGAGACACGGUCCAGACUCCUACGGGAGGCAGCAGUAGGGAAUCUUCCGCAAUGGGCGAAAGCCUGACGGAGCAACGCCGCGUGAGUGAUGAAGGUCUUCGGAUCGUAAAACUCUGUUAUUAGGGAAGAACAAAUGUGUAAGUAACUAUGCACGUCUUGACGGUACCUAAUCAGAAAGCCACGGCUAACUACGUG
rnacentral:rRNA from 1 species